rnacentral:rRNA from 1 species
UACGGAGGGUGCAAGCGUUAUCCGGAUUCACUGGGUUUAAAGGGUGCGUAGGUGGCUUUGUAAGUCAGUGGUGAAAGCCUGGAGCUUAACUCCAAAACUGCCAUUGAUACUGCUUAGCUUGAAUCAACUUGAGGUGGAUGGAAUGUAACAUGUAGCGGUGAAAUGCUUAGAUAUGUUACAGAACACCAAUUGCGAAGGCAGUUCACUAAAGUUGUAUUGACACUGAGGCACGAAAGCGUGGGGAUCAAACAGG